GACGAACGCUGGCGGCGUGCUUAACACAUGCAAGUCGAACGGAAAGGCCCUGCUUGCAGGGUACUCGAGUGGCGAACGGGUGAGUAACACGUGGGUGAUCUGCCCUGCACUUCGGGAUAAGCCUGGGAAACUGGGUCUAAUACCGGAUAUGACCUUCCAUGUAGUGUGGGGGGUGGAAAGAUUUAUCGGUGUGGGAUGAGCCCGCGGCCUAUCAGCUUGUUGGUGGGGUAAUGGCCUACCAAGGCGUCGACGGGUAGCCGGCCUGAGAGGGUGGACGGCCACAUUGGGACUGAGAUACGGCCCAGACUCCUACGGGAGGCAGCAGUGGGGAAUAUUGCACAAUGGGCGGAAGCCUGAUGCAGCGACGCCGCGUGGGGGAUGACGGCCUUCGGGUUGCAAACCUCUUUCGACAGGGACGAAGCUUCGGUGACGGUACCUGUAUAAGAAGCACCGGCUAACUACGUG
rnacentral:rRNA from 1 species